UAUUCAUUUGGCAAAUUCAAA
rnacentral:piRNA from 1 species